UACGUAGGAUGCAAGCGUUGUCCGGAAUUAUUGGGCGUAAAGAGCUCGUAGGCGGUCUGUCGCGUCUGCUGUGAAAACUCAGGGCUUAACCCUGAGCUUGCAGUGGGUACGGGCAGACUAGAGUGCGGUAGGGGAGACUGGAAUUCCUGGUGUAGCGGUGAAAUGCGCAGAUAUCAGGAGGAACACCGGUGGCGAAGGCGGUUCUCUGGGCCUGUACUGACGCUGAGGAGCGAAAGCGUGGGGAGCGAACAGG
rnacentral:rRNA from 1 species